CACGUAGGGGGCGAGCGUUGUCCGGAAUCAUUGGGCGUAAAGAGCUCGUAGGCGGCUCAGUAAGUCGGGUGUGAAACCCUCAGGCUCAACCUGGGGACGCCACUCGAUACUGCUGUGGCUAGAGUCCAGUAGAGGAGUGUGGAAUUCCCGGUGUGGCGGUGAAAUGCGCAGAUAUCAGGAGGAACACCGGUGGCGAAGGCGGGUCUCUGGGCAGUAACUGACGCUGAGGAGCGAAAGCGUGGGUAGCAAACAGG
rnacentral:rRNA from 1 species